rnacentral:rRNA from 1 species
GACGAACGCUGGCGGCAUGCCUAAUACAUGCAAGUCGAGCGAACAGAUGAAGUGCUUGCACUUUUGACGUUAGCGGCGAACGGGUGAGUAACACGUAAGGAAUCUACCUAUAAGCGGGGGAUAACAUUCGGAAACGGGUGCUAAUACCGCAUAAUAUCUUCUUCCGCAUGGAAGAAGAUUGAAAGACGGCUCUGCUGUCACUUAUAGAUGACCUUGCGGUGCAUUAGUUAGUUGGUGGGGUAACGGCCUACCAAGACGAUGAUGCAUAGCCGACCUGAGAGGGUGAGCGGCCACAUUGGGACUGAGACACGGCCCAAACUCCUACGGGAGGCAGCAGUAGGGAAUCUUCCGCAAUGGGCGAAAGCCUGACGGAGCAAUGCCGCGUGAGUGAAGAAGGCCUUCGGGUCGUAAAACUCUGUUAUAAGAGAAGAACAAAUUGUAGAGUAACUGCUACAGUCUUGACGGUAUCUUAUCAGAAAGCCACGGCUAACUACGUGCCAGCAGCCGCCGUAA